rfam:Homo sapiens chromosome 14, GRCh38 reference primary assembly.
GCCGGGCAUGGUGGUGCUUGCCUGUAAUCCCAGCUACUUGGGAGGCUGAGGCAGGAGAAUCGCUUGAACCCAGGAGUUAGAGGUUGCAGUGAGCUGAGAUGGCGCCACUAUACUCCAGCCUGGGCAACAGAGCGAGACUCUGUCUUAA